GAAACUCGAUCCUGCAGUAUUAUUCAGUGUAAGUAGAGGAUCUCAGUGCAGUAAAGUUCAGGAGUAAAUGA